CCCAACUAACCAUUUGUCAUUUCCCAGUGAACUCAAAUGUACAUCUACAUUAGUGAAUCCCAGUAACUCUCAGCCAAAAACUAACCAAAGCCCUUAACAAACUAACUGAAAUUAGCAAUUACAAACUUAAAGCCUUAUUAACACGAAUUCGAACUUAUUCAAGAGGCAGAGUCAAUGAUCCACCCAGUACUACAGAGCAUGUUUACAGCUAAACAAUUAAGAGUGAACAUGAUAAAGGGGAGAUCAGACUACUCCACAAAUUCUGAUGAUUUCCAAAAGACAUGAGUGACAUUUUAUGAACAAAAUAGAAAUACAGCUAAGCUAUAAAAGUGAACAAAUUUAAUGCACGGCUUCAAAGUUCCCUAACCAUUUCAUUCAUCAAAUUUGGAUUCACAUUCUGCAAGUCUUAGAAUAAGUACCUGGAUAUUGAAAGCAAAGAACAAAGGGAGGAGUCAGCAGCAGUACUUAGCAGAAUUCAGCACCAGCAACACCAAUGCAAACUAGAAAAAUGGAUACGAAGCAGCACAAGACAGUCUUAAUCGAACAAUAACCCAAAGCAACCUCAAACCAAACUUCAAACACCCAAAACUCAAUUCAUUUCAGCACCAGAUUAAUCAAAAGUUCUUCAGAAGUUAAAAAUCUUCGAAAUUAUAGAAGAAAAUGCAAUGGAACAGUAAUUUCUUUUUUAGUGUUUUCAGCCCGUUGUAUUUUCUCUCAGAACUUUAAGUUCUUGAAGUCUAUGAAGGUAGUAAAUUUUUUGCAGUUUCUGUAUUUUUAGAUUUCCAUCUCUCAAAAAACAAUCUCUCCCUUGAAAGGCAAGAAGACUGACUUUAUAGGCAAGGCAAGUAGGGCAGCCUUAAGGGAUCAAUUUUUGCACUUAAACCCUUCUGAGAUUUUCAUUUUAGCUUAGGUAUCCCUCUUUAAAUCUCAGAACUUCAAAAUAGUCCCCCUCCCCAACUUCCUAGAAGAUUCCUAGUUAGUUAGAAAAAGAUUCCCUACCCAGGUUUCCCAAUUUACCCCUUAGUGACCCUAUUAUUACCUUGGUUAACUAGCUACCUUUCAGCUCAUGGGUCAAGUUGAGCCAACAUUUAACCCCAACCUGGACUGACCUCUUUCUUUGGGCUUUCAAACCCAACAUGAAACCAACCCAAUUAGUAUUUACUAACAAACCCCAACUCUGAAUGAAAUCCACAGAAAUAGAAACAAUUCGGGUAAAAUUUAUACUUAUUCCAAUUGAUGCAACUAAGCACUUAAUGAAAUGUGAACUAAAUUAUUAACAAAUUCUUAAACUACUUAAAGAAAAGAAAACUUCUUAACAAAAAAAAACUAACGCGCAUGUAAUUAACCCUCUGAAAUUAGAAAACUAAGAUUUUCAAAAGCACGGGAAGAAGCAGAAAACAGAAAAACAAAUGAAGAAAAGAUUAAACCGAAGAAAGAAAAGAAAGUACCCACGAAAAGGUUCGGGAAAUGAAAGAGGGAGCCUGGGUCUUCAAAUCAUCUGAUUUCUGGCCGAUUUUGAAAUUAAUCGUGUGUUAUUAACAAGAACACACGAAUAAAAUCAAUUUAGACCGGAAAAAUUCAACGAACACUCGAUUUAGGAUUUUGGAAUUUCUAGGGUUCGUCUUCAAAUCCAGAUCCGAGAGGAUUCAAGGGUGUUCGAGGGAAACUGAUAUGGGAUUUGGGAAGAGGGGUUCGUGAAGGUCCCGGGGUGUAAUUUUGGUGAGGAUCGGAGCCGGCGCCGCCAUGCAGGGGGUUGGGAAUUCUAGGGCGGCGGCUAGGGUUUGAAACUUCGAUUCGAGAUUUGAAUAGUUGGGAUUCGAUUUGGGGGAAGAGGGGUGCGGAUUUGGGAUAUGGAGAUGGAGGAAGGUAUUUGGUGUAAGUUUGGUAGCGGUUCACGGUGGCGCCGCCAGAGGAAGGUGGUGGAAUUUUGAGGCGGAUCAGUUAGAGUUUGUUGGGGGAUCAGUCUCUG
rnacentral:lncRNA from 1 species